rnacentral:rRNA from 1 species
GAUGAACGCUGGCGGCGUGCCUAAUACAUGCAAGUCGAGCGAACAGACGAGGAGCUUGCUCCUCUGACGUUAGCGGCGGACGGGUGAGUAACACGUGGAUAACCUACCUAUAAGACUGGGAUAACUUCGGGAAACCGGAGCUAAUACCGGAUAAUAUAUUGAACCGCAUGGUUCAAUAGUGAAAGACGGUUUUGCUGUCACUUAUAGAUGGAUCCGCGCCGCAUUAGCUAGUUGGUAAGGUAACGGCUUACCAAGGCAACGAUGCGUAGCCGACCUGAGAGGGGGAGCGGCCACACUGGAACUGAGACACGGUCCAGACUCCUACGGGAGGCAGCAGUAGGGAAUCUUCCGCAAAGGGCGAAAGCCUGACGGAGCAACGCCGCGUGAGUGAUGAAGGUCUUCGGAUCGUAAAACUCUGUUAUUAGGGAAGAACAAAUGUGUAAGUAACUAUGCACGUCUUGACGGUACCUAAUCAGAAAGCCACGGCUAACUACGUG